GACGUACGCUGGCGGCGUGCUUAACACAUGCAAGUCGAACGGAAAGGCCCUGCUUUUGUGGGGUGCUCGAGUGGCGAACGGGUGAGUAACACGUGAGUAACCUGCCCUUGACUUUGGGAUAACUUCAGGAAACUGGGGCUAAUACCGGAUAGGAGCUCCUGCUGCAUGGUGGGGGUUGGAAAGUUUCGGCGGUUGGGGAUGGACUCGCGGCUUAUCAGCUUGUUGGUGGGGUAGUGGCUUACCAAGGCUUUGACGGGUAGCCGGCCUGAGAGGGUGACCGGCCACAUUGGGACUGAGAUACGGCCCAGACUCCUACGGGAGGCAGCAGUGGGGAAUAUUGCACAAUGGGCGGAAGCCUGGUGCAGCAACGCCGCGUGCGGGAUGACGGCCUUCGGGUUGUAAACCGCUUUCGCCUGUGACGAAGCGUGAGUGACGGUAAUGGGUAAAGAAGCACCGGCUAACUACGUG
rnacentral:rRNA from 1 species